AACGAACGCUGGCGGCAUGCCUAACACAUGCAAGUCGAACGAGACCUUCGGGUCUAGUGGCGCACGGGUGCCUAACGCGUGGGAACCUGCCCUUAGGUUCGGAAUAACUCCCCGAAAGGGGUGCUAAUACCGGAUAAUGUCUUCGGACCAAAGAUUUAUCGCCUUUGGAUGGGCCCGCGUUGGAUUAGCUAGUUGGUAGGGUAAAAGCCUACCAAGGCGACGAUCCAUAGCUGGUCUGAGAGGAUGAUCAGCCACACUGGGACUGAGACACGGCCCAGACUCCUACGGGAGGCAGCAGUGGGGAAUAUUGGACAAUGGGCGAAAGCCUGAUCCAGCAAUGCCGCGUGAGUGAUGAAGGCCUUAGGGUUGUAAAGCUCUUUUACCCGGGAUGAUAAUGACAGUACCGGGAGAAUAAGCUCCGGCUAACUCCGU
rnacentral:rRNA from 1 species